rfam:Streptomyces violaceusniger Tu 4113, complete genome.
CUUCAGCGAGCCGAGCCACAGCGGCCGGUCGGCCGGGCGCUUCUUCCCGUACGUGGCGAGCAGGGCGUUGGCCUC